GACGAACGCUGGCGGCGUGCUUAACACAUGCAAGUCGAACGGGUCUGCCCUGUUUUUUGCGGGGUGGGUCAGUGGCGAACGGGUGAGUAACACGUGAGUAACCUGCCCCUCACUUCUGGAUAACCGCUUGAAAGGGUGGCUAAUACGGGGUGUUCUGGCUGUGCCGCAUGGUGUGGCUGGGAAAGAUUCACUUUUGUGGUGUUUUGGUGGGGGAUGGGCUCGCGGCCUAUCAGCUUGCUGGUGGGGUGAUGGCCUGCCAAGGCUUUGACGGGUAGCCGGCCUGGGAGGGUGGGCGGUCAGAGUGGGACUGAGAUACGGCCCGGACUCCUGCGGGAGGCAGCAGUGGGGGGUAUUGCACAAUGGGCGGAAGCCUGAUGCAGCGACGACGCGGGAGGGAUGGAGGCCUUCGGGUUGUGAACCUCUUUCGCCGGUGAAGAAGGUCCUGCUCUUUGUGGUGGGGUUGACGGUAGCCGGGUUAUGAAGCGCCGGCUAACUACGUG
rnacentral:rRNA from 1 species